UACGGGGGGGGGUAAGCGUUGUUCGGAAUUACUGGGCGUAAAGGGCUCGUAGGUGGCCAACUAAGUCAGACGUGAAAUCCCUCAGCUUAACUGGGGAACUGCGUCUGAUACUGGAUGGCUUGAGUUUGGGAGAGGGAUGCGGAAUUCCAGGUGUAGCGGUGAAAUGCGUAGAUAUCUGGAGGAACACCGGUGGCGAAGGCGGCAUCCUGGACCAAUACUGACACUGAGGAGCGAAAGCCAGGGGAGCAAACGGG
rnacentral:rRNA from 1 species